rnacentral:lncRNA from 1 species
UAUCAUUGAAAGAUAUUAGACAAUUGCCAACUAGACCUUUGCAAAGACUUGUAUACCUUUAAUUACAAGAAAGUUAAUUCUUAUACCUAUAACGAUUUCUCUACUGUUAUUUACUAUACUAUAUAUAAAAAUAUUAAUUUUCGCGAACCAUUUAGGUCACGGAAAUUCCAAAAUAUGGCAUCAGUAAGGAGAGUUGUGCAAAUAAUGUGAAUACACAGAACCCCCAUCCAAAUUAUCUCUAGCUAAAAGUAUUCAUCUUUUUCUAUUUUAUAUGUACUAACAAUAUUCAAUUUUUCUAUAAUUUCGAUUAAAAUAUUCCAAAAUCUGAGUAAAAAUAAAUCGAAUGCCCCAAAUAAACAUUGUCUGAUUGGUUGAAGUACUGUGGCGUCGAUGCUUAGCAUAAUAAGCCUCG